CGGGACGGGUGAGUAACGCGUGGAUAACCUGCCUCACACUGGGGGAUAACAGUUAGAAAUGGCUGCUAAUACCGCAUAAGCGCACAGUACCGCAUGGUACGGUGCGAAAAACCCAGGUGGUGUGAGAUGGAUCCGCGUCUGAUUAGCCAGUUGGCGGGGUAACGGCCCACCAAAGCGACGAUCAGUAGCCGACCUGAGAGGGUGACCGGCCACAUUGGGACUGAGACACGGCCCAA
rnacentral:rRNA from 1 species